GACGUAGGAUGCGAGCGUUGUCCGGAUUCAUUGGGCGUAAAGAGUUCGUAGGCGGUUUGUUAAGUUUGAUGUUAAAUAUCGGGGCCUAACCUCGAGAGUGCAUUGAAUACUGGCAGACUGGAGUGCAGUAGAGGCGAGUGGAAUUCCCAGUGUAGCGGUGAAAUGCGUAGAUAUUGGGAAGAACACCGGUGGCGCAGGCGACUCGCUGGGCUGUAACUGACGCUGAGGAACGAAAGCUAGGGGAGCAAAUGGGAUUAGAUA
rnacentral:rRNA from 1 species